GCAAAACACAGGGAAAGCACUAGCUCCCUUCCUCCUACUACUCCAUUGAACCUCCUCCUUUCUCUAAACAAGUAAAAGCUGCUACUCUCUCUCUCUCUCUCUCUCUCUCUCUCUCUACAGGUAAUCCUUCUCUCUCUGGUUCUCUCAUUAGUUCCUUGCUUUGUUGUUUACUCUUCUUCCCGCAAAAGCUAGGGUUUUCUCAACUUGGUCUUGUACCAUUUUGGGGAUUUAGGGCAUUUUCGUGGCUUUCGGAUUCUGGAUUCGGAUUCUUCAUAAUUUAGGGUUGUAAAGUUGGAGACUUGUAAGAUGAUUGAUAGAGUUCAUAAUUGAGGGGCUUGGUUCUGUGUUGAAAAUUGGAACUCAUGUUUAUAGGUGUAUUCAAUCGUUAUUCUUUUUUAAUUUUAUUUUCUUUGGCUGAAAUUCUUGAAAUUUUCCUUGAUGAUUUCUUCCGGUCUGCAGGGUUCAGGCUUAUUGAAUAAAAAGCAAACAUUGUAUCAUAGCAGUGUUGGGAGUUGUUUGAAAGACCCAGAAGAGUUAGCGAGAUGGAUAAGGUGAAAAUAGAAGAGGUUCAGUCCACUACCAAGAAGCAACGCGUAGCUACUCA
rnacentral:lncRNA from 1 species